rnacentral:rRNA from 1 species
AUUGAACGCUGGCGGCAUGCCUUACACAUGCAAGUCGAACGGCAGCACGGGAGCAAUCCUGGUGGCGAGUGGCGAACGGGUGAGUAAAGUAUCGGAACGUGCCUAGUCGUGGGGGAUAACGUAGCGAAAGUUACGCUAAUACCGCAUACGAUCUAUGGAUGAAAGCGGGGGAUCGCAAGACCUCGCGCGAUUGGAGCGGCCGAUAUCAGAUUAGGUAGUUGGUGGGGUAAAGGCUCACCAAGCCGACGAUCUGUAGCUGGUCUGGGAGGACGACCAGCCACACUGGGACUGGGACACGGCCCAGACUCCUACGGGAGGCAGCAGUGGGGAAUUUUGGACAAUGGGCGAAGGCCUGAUCCAGCCAUGCCGCGUGCAGGAUGAAGGCCUUCGGGUUGUAAACUGCUUUUGUACGGAACGAAAAGGUUUGGGCUAAUAAGCUGAGCUCAUGACGGUACCGUAAGAAUAAGCACCGGCUAACUACGUGCCAGCCGCCGCUGUAA